CCCAACCCAACCGUGGCUCGCCCUCACCAGACCCCCCCAACCCAACCCUGGCUCGCCCUCACCACACCCGACCCACUCAGGCUCCUCGGAACAUCACGGCCACACAGCAGCCACAUCGCACAACCACACCCCUCCCCGAGAGCCCCGGAGUCACCCUCGCGUUGGCUCUCACCGUGCGUCUGCUCGCACACCCCGCACACUCGCGAGCCGGGCGGCCCGGGCGAGCGCGCGCGCGCUCCUGCCCUCACUCGGGGUCCGCCGAGCCCCCCGAGGCGAGCCCGCGCCCGGUCGGCAGCCCACGGCCGCCGCAAAGCCGACCACCAGUCGGGCGGCUCCCGCGCUUCCCGCGGCGGGGUCCCGGCAGCGCCACCGGCCCGACAGCCCCGGAAGGCGAGCUCAGAGACGUGACCCCCAGGCGCGCCCCGGGCGGGUCCAUAGACUCCCCGCGGCCAGCGGCGCGCGACCGUUAGGUUUCCCCGAGCACGGGCGCUCCCGGCAGGCCUCGCGGCCCGCCCAACUUCCGGCCGGAGCUCCGGCGGCGCUUCCUGUGCGAGGGAGCCGAGAGGCGGCCGGGGGCGCCCGGGUGGCUGAGCUCGUUAGCGCCGCGCGCGCGGGACCACUUGGUGGCUGUGGCCUUGGGGAACUACAUUUCCCAGAAAGCCCCGCGGCCGGGGGGGCGCCCCUCGCUGGGACUCUCGGGCGUUUCCAGCGGCCUGGCGGGACCGUUAGAAGGGGCGAGGCGAGGACGGCCCAGCUUGGCCCCGAGGUUUGCACUUCGGCGCCACAGGUUCCGCCCUCGGCCGACUGGAAGAGCCUCAGAUGAGAAGAGGGGCGGCCUGUGCGAGCUGGGGCCUUGGGGCUGGGCGAGCAAGUGCCCUGAUGGUUUGGGGGGCGUCGUCUGCAACCCAUUCUAACGGGCGUUUCUGUGAGGACGAGAAACGGCUGCUCACUGUGCCUGAGCCGGGCGGUGGUGGCGCCCGCCUUUAGUCCCUGCCCUCGGGAGGCCAGGGGGAUCUCUGUGAGUUCGAGACCAGCCUGGUCUACCAGGGAUAGUUCCAGGACAGCCUCCAAAGCCACACAGAGAAACCCUGUCUUGCCUGAGACUCCUGCCCCUUGUCAGAACUCUGUCCCCGGAAGCCUCCCUGAGGUUUCUGGAAAGGUGAUGGGUCAGGCAAUUGUCUUCUAGUCAUGAGGGUAGCAUUUUAAAGAAGUUUCUUUUCUCAUAAAGUUGGGAGUGGGUUCCUGAAGAGAUGGCUCUGCAGUCAAGAGCACUUGCUGCUGACCUGGGUUCAGUCCUCAACACCCAUCAGAUGGCUCCCCUUCAUCUUGUAACUCCAGUUCCUGAGUGUCUCUCUGAAAUCCAAUGUGUGAAACCAAGAUGUUGUCGAUAAAGAACAGGCAUGUUAGUCAAGUAAUGCUUACCUCUAAAGACAUGCCCACUUGUAUUCACCCUGCAUUUCUUCACUCUACACUGAAAAACUAAUCAUGAGGAUAAACCCUAUGAAUACUUUCUUAGAACCCACCAAGUUUGCCAGGUGAUGGUUGUGCACAGCUUUAAUCUCAGCACUCGGAAAGCACAGUCAGGUGAAUCUCUGUGAGUUUGAGGCCAACCUGGUCUACAGAGCAAGUUCCAGG
rnacentral:lncRNA from 1 species